GUUCAAGUGCAGGUCGAACAGAAGAUCUUAAACCUGCCCUGUUGAUCUGAUCACUGAAAAUUUUUAGUUUGCGUGACAUUUCUGCACAUCGCUUUACCUGCAAUGGAAUUAAGAUGUGUUUGUCAACAUAACUAAAAAGUUAGUGAGACCAGAGAUUUUUAAAUAUCAGCAACAGCCCAAACAAUAAGUUUUAGUACUGUCCGCUUCAUCAUCAUAUUGUUUAUGUACUGUGCUAUUUUUAGAGGAUGUGAAGUCUGGUUCUAAUUUCCUAUCAUCUACCAUACUGUACUCAGUGCUAUGAGCAUAUUUUAACUGGUAACUUGAUUGGCAAUCCAGUACUCAUGAUAUCAAAUAGCAUAAUGCAAUGAGUAGAUUAACCCCUUUUCCCCACAGUUGUCUACUGGGCAAAUCACUAUAUAAUCCACACCAAUCCUGAAAUGACCAUCCCUUAUACUGUAAAAUAGCCUCUACUAAAAGCAAACCACUCAGAGCAUCACCUACUGCCUGAUUGAUCAGCUGACUCGCUGCCAACAAUCUCAUUACAGCGUGGUACUGUGCUGAUUGCUGAACCUAGAAAGGGCAUUAGACCAACCGCAUCAAAUAAACUGUUGAAAGGGAGAAUAAGGACGUAAAACAGAUAGUAAGAGCGUACCAAUGUCAGCUUGAGAGGAGAGCUCAUUGCUUAAUGACUCUAGCUAAGAGAUGAAAUCCUCUGAGAAUACCACAGUCCCAUGCCCAUUUGCCUCAAAGUAUAUACCAAUGUCAUACUCCAAGGCCCUUUUGUGCAGAUAUUUCACUCCUGUAGGAGUGAACACCACUUCGAGGCCAAGGCUCUUCAGAAACUGCGUCGACGCCCCAUUCGCAUAAGCUGUCUGAACUAUUCCAAGCCUUGCAGACAAUGACUUGUUUGCUUGGCCACCAUUGUUAUUAACGAUAUCUAGCUGCUCUCUGAUAAAAAGGGCAAACAGAGAUAGUAUCUUAUCUCCAUCAACAAGAUCAACCCAAAAAUACACUGCAUAUGUGUUUACCAAAAAUCUUGCUUCCCAGCUGCUUCCAAUAACUUUGGGAAACAAAGAAAGUUAAAAGUAUUAACCUUAACCAUUUGAUAGUCAACACAAAGAGAAACAUAUAUCCUUAAAUUCGACGUAUGGCUGGUUGACAAAUACCUGGUUGACAAAGAUACGCUACAAAGGACUCUGUUUUAGAAUGCAUCAGUCAAACUCGCCUUCAGUCUAGUGGCGUUGUACUCCCAUUUUAACAAACUGCAUAAGUAUAUGAUUAUCAAUCAGUGCCUUCUUUGACCCUGACUAAGCAUUGUGUAUCUCUUAGCAAACUGCAUAAAUAUACUAAUUUGAAGUAUAUUGAUCCGUGCCUUGCCAAUUGCCAUGAGUCAAUGACGUCGAUUGCGCGGUGCUCCAUUCAUAUCCAUUCUGAAUUUCUGAUUUGAUUGUCCUUGGAGUAAAUCUUGGACUGUCUUCAUGUGUCCGAAUCCAAAAUAGUCUUGUGGUUCGUCUGCCUUUCAGCUCAUUUGGAAGGUUCUCAGAGUUGCUGAUCCCACCAUUGGCAGUUCAAGUAUCAAGAGGCCAUUGGUGACAGAAGCUGCAACAUCCAUGGUUAUUAGAUGUACAUGUCAUUUUCUUUCACCCUUUUCCUGAAUAACUUGUUGGCAUUAAGAUGCAUGACACUAUUACCUUCUUCCUGAAUAACUGUGAGCGAGAUGUAUAAAAUAUGUAGUUUUUUAUGUUGAAAAUACUGAAGUAUGGAACAAUGUACUCCUAACUAGGGAUUGUGGUGGGACACAAAACUGACAGUAGCUUCCAUUUUCCUAUAGUAAAUUUUAUUUGUCAUGAUCUAGCUUUGCAUAUAUAAUUUUCUCCGAGUUCCUUACAGAAGCUAUACCAAGUUUUAUAUUUAGUCCCUAGUAUGAGUGGAAACUUUGUAUAACUGCUGUAAGGAAAAACUUGUUCAUAAAACUUUGUAUUUCCCAACACGCCCUGCAUACCUCUCUGUUCCUAACUUUUUUUGUGUGCAUAUCUUUUUCAGCAGGGAAGUUCCCUAAGGCAAGCAGUUGAAGUUUACUGUCUUUUUACACUCACUGGCUUAAGUCUCCCGCGGCACAUGCACGGUCUUAUGACACAACCACUGCCUUUUUAAUAUAAAAUGGUCAUUAGCUGUUAAAGUUUACUGUGAUGCCCUUAGUCUAGUGAUAAAAUGGAGUUCAGCUGAUCAGGUACAAAGGAGCCCCUGAAGUGGAAAGUCAGGUUCAAAAUUGCACUUGGAAUUGCUGAAGGGCUGCUUUAUCUACAUGAAGGCUGCCAUCGCCGCAUAAUUCACAGGGACGUCAAGGCAUCUAAUAUCCUUCUAACUGAAGACUACCAACCUCAGAUAUCAGAUUUUGGGCUUGCAAAGUGGCUCCUUGACAAAUUGACCCAUCAUGUUGUGUAUCCCAUUGAAGGCACAUUCGGCGAGCGUCUAUGCGUUCGGGUUACUAGGACAUGGGACUUCUAUGAUCCUGGAGAUGAUAAAAAACUUCUGCAUUCUGAUCUUGUACUGCUCGAUGAGGAGGUUCAUAAAGCAUGGUUACCACCUUGGCUAGCGGCACAAUAUGCUCAUUACGUGGAUUGAGGGAGAGGAAGCAAAAAUGACUGUAUGGGAGAAUAUGCAGAAAGCUGAAGCAGAAGCAGCCAUACAAAAGCUUGUGAUAAAACUUGAAAAGAAAAGGCCAUACUCGCUGGAGAGGAUUUUCAACACCCUUAGGUCUGGCUCUCGGAAGACACAGGUGGUACGCAGUACAUCAACCGCAAAUCAGAAUCAGCAUAUUUCCAGAACUAUCAAAACGGCGCCAAACCUCAGCAAGAACGGUCAAAUGAGUUCAUUGAGUGGAUGCUUCAGACAGGAUCUAUAGCAUGGAUCAUAAUCUGGAUUGUCCUUAAGUUUUUAUUGUGCUAGGGGAACAUAAGAAAGUAUGUAGAGCAAAAUGAGAGGAGCUGUUGUUACCCUCAAUUCUUUGUGAUUAUUGUGCUAGAGUGAUGUAGUUGUUGGCUUUUGAACAAUAGCUGGAGUGAUAUGAAACAUUAGUGGUCUAGUUGUGAAUGAUAUUAUAAUUGUGAUGCUUUUGUGAAUAUAUAAUUGUGGUGCUUUUGUGU